GUAAGGAAUAUUGGACAAUGGGCGCAAGCCUGAUCCAGCCAUGCCGCGUGAAGGAUGACGGCCCUCUGGGUUGUAAACUUCUUUUAUACGGGAAUAAACCCCUCGAUUCUUCGGGGGCUGAAUGUACUGUAAGAAUAAGGAUCGGCUAACUUCGUGCCAGCAGCCGCGGUAAUACGAAGGAUCCAAGCGUUAUCCGGAUUUAUUGGGUUUAAAGGGUGCGUAGGCGGACUAUUAAGUCAGUGGUGAAAGCCUGUAGCUUAACUGCAGAAUUGCCAUUGAUACUGAUGGUCUUGAGUACAUUUGAGGUGGGCGGAAUGUGUCAUGUAGUGGUGAAAUACUUAGAUAUGAUACAGAACUCCAAUUGCGAAGGCAGCUCACUAAACUGUAACUGACGCUGAGGCACGAAAGCGUGGGGAUCAAACAGGAUUAGAAACCCCUGUAGUCC
rnacentral:rRNA from 1 species